ensembl:lncRNA
GGGGUACCGGUACAGAGUCAAUGUGGAGGCUAUAUACAGGGUGUACCGGUACAGAGUCAAUGUGGAGACUAUAUACAGGGUAUUACGGUACAGAGUCAAUGUGGAGACUAUAUACAGGGUAUUACGGUACAGAGUCAAUGUGGAGGCUAUAUACAGGGUAUUACGGUACAGAGUCAAUGUGGAGGCUAUAUACAGGGGGUACCAGUACAGAGUCAAUAUGGAGGCUAUAUACAGGGGGUACCGGUACAGAGUCAAUGUGGAGGCUAUAUACAGGGGGUACCGGGACAGAGUCAAUGUGGAGGCUAUAUACAGGGUGUUACGGUACAGAGUCAAUGUGGAGGCUAUAUACAGGGGGUACCGGUACAGAGUCAAUGUGGAGGCUAUAUACAGGGUGUUACGGUACAGAGUCAAUGUGGAGGCUAUAUACAGGGGGUACCGGUACAGAGUCAAUGUGGAGGCUAUAUACAGGGUGUUACGGUACAGAGUCAAUGUGGAGGCUAUAUACAGGGGUACCGGUACAGAGUCA